rnacentral:sRNA from 1 species
CCACUCUUGCUGUGCAAACUCAAUUUCCUGUAUCCUACUCUAUGUAUUUUCGAAGCAGUCAUCGCCAUAUGGUAUACUCUCUCUAGAUUAUUUUCUUGGGCAUUUGCCUAUUGUCACCUUUUCUUCUCACUAGCAUGUGGCUCCAUGAGGGCAAAUACUUAAUCUGUUAUGUUCACUGGGGCAUCUCCAGAACUUGCCUGAAACCCAGUAGGUGUUCAAUAAGUUCUGGAGGGAUGAAUGAAUGACUCCUCUCACUAUAAGGGAGUUUGGGAUAUGUAGUCUAUCUGGGCACAUUUCUAUCUGUUCUCUUUGCAGGGGAGAAAGGGAUGAGGAUGUUGGAUAAGCAGCUCAGCAUGUUCCCCAACAUGUAAGGGAAUCAGUUCGAGUUCUACACUCUCCUUCUUGGUACACAUCCUCAGAAUGCAGGAAGUGCCUCUGCUUGUUGUGAGUCUUUGUGGACAGAGGCAGGAUCAUGCUGGCUAGAAUCUAGUGGACAAGGGCAGCACAUUCCCCCUGUUCCCAGGUGGGUCCAGAGAUGUCGCCUGGGAGCCAGGGCCUGGAGUUCUAUGUUACUGUGGCUGAGCUUGCACCCAAGCUACAAGAUGACAUCCCACUCUUCCCUCACCUUUCUACAAGUAGAGGAGUCUCUUCUCAUGGCCACCAUUGUCCCAGGAUGUGAGGUCUGGAACAGCUGCAGCCAUUUUGCCACCAUGGGAAACCUGGGACAUCCGAACUGACUCCAUGAAGCCUGAAGAGAAAGCUAAUAAGAAGGCAGAGAGAAGAGGAAGAGAGUCUUGGUCUUUGGAAAUAUCUUUUGGAGCUGCUGGAUCAAGUAUCACUUGAAGGUGUCUCUUCUCACCUGGAAUCACAGCAUUGGGUGGACUGAAAAGAGGAAGAGGCUGCAAUGGAGCAGCACACCUAGUGUGUGGGGAUGCCUGGAAAACAAAAUUAGGAGAGCCCUGGGUCAGCAUUGCUCUGGCACUGGCUGGGCCGGGGGCCAUCCUGAUUCUAGAAUUAUCUUGGUUUCUGGGAUAGAAAUGUCCCCAGAGUGGAGAAGUUCAGUUCAAUCCAACAUCCUUAUAUUGCAAUGAGGAUAAAGACCACAGACCCUAUGGCCUGUAUGACCCAGCUGCCCAUUUCUAGGAACCCAUUCCUACAAAAAUGACAACAUGCGUGUGCAAACAGCAACAAUGACAAACAUACCCUGGGAUGCUUUCCCUGUGUGGUUUGUUAUAGUAAGAUGGCGGCUACAGCUUAUAAAUCAUCAACAGAGGACUGGCUAAAUGAUGGCACUUCAUUCUGCAGAAUCUUUUGUUGUAGUCAAAAAGAACAAGUUAGAUCUAUAUGUGUGAACUUGGAAAGGUGUACAUGACUUAAGUAGAAAAGUUAAGUUGCAGAACGA